rnacentral:rRNA from 1 species
AGAUUGAACGCUGGCGGCAGGCCUAACACAUGCAAGUCGAGCGGUAGAGAGGUGCUUGCAUCUCUUGAGAGCGGCGGACGGGUGAGUAAUGCCUAGGAAUCUGCCUAGUGGUGGGGGAUAACGUUCGGAAACGGACGACUAAUACCGCAUACGUCCUACGGGAGAAAGCGGGGGACCUUCGGGCCUCGCGCCAUUAGAUGAGCCUAGGUCGGAUUAGCUAGUUGGUGAGGUAAUGGCUCACCAAGGCGACGAUCCGGUAACUGGUCUGGGAGAUGAUCAGUCACACUGGAACUGAGACCACGGUCCAGACCUCCGUACGGGAGCAGCAGGUGGGAAUAGUGGAACAAGUGGGACGAAAGCCUAGA